CAGCAACACCUUCGCAGAGUGAAGGAACACAACCUCCUCCAACUGCCUUUCCAACAAUUCUACCAACUUGAUGCUUAUCCCUUUGCUGCUUGGUAUUACAUUCCACAAAUCAUGCAGUAUAUUGCUUAUCCACCAUCCUACGACAUCACUAAACCCACUGCCUCUGAGAACGUUGAAAACGUUGUUGUUGUGCCAGAGUGGUGAAAAAUUAAGAAUUCUCAGGAACUCCACAAUUAUGGCUGUUGAUGUGACUGAAAAUUCCAUUCUCUAAAUUUCUCCUAUCUACCAUGUAAAACCAUCUUAUCCAAAGGCUUUGACUGUUAUUUUAGAAUAGGACAAUACCAAAUUGAGGGCAAUCUUCCUUUUUCAGUUCUCUACUGUGUAUUACAUAGAAUUAUCAUUAUUUUCCUUAAGCUAAAUU